UCCUUUUAUUUUGAUUGAUUGAUUGAUUGAUUGAUAUGGGGUGUGACUCUGUCAGCAGGCGGGAGUGCAAUGGCACGAUCUCACCUCACUGCAAUCUCUGCCUCCUGGACUCAAGCAGUCCUCCCACCGCUGUCUCCCGAGUAGCUGGGACCACAGGUGCACGCCACCACACCCAGUUAACCUUUUUGUAUUUUUAGUAGAGAUGGGGUUUCACCAUUUUGCCCAGGAUGGUCUCAAACUCUUAAGCUCAAGCAGUCUACCCACCUCAGCUUCUCACAGUGCUGGGAUUACAGGUAUGGGUCACCACGCCCAGCGCCUUUUAAAAGCACGGUUGGAUCAUAGCAUUUAUCUGCUCAUAACAAUGGCUUUUGCUUCCCUGCUCACUCAAAAGAAAUUCCUUCUUCACUGCAGAACUGGCCCUCCUACCACAGGAUGUUUAGGGUCCCUGGCUGCAACCCCCAAAGGUCCUAAUGGUGCUGGUCGUGGGGGAAUCCGCACCAUUGUGACAACUGAAUAUGCCCACAUGAUGCCCAAGGUUUCAGUCCUGGCCACACCCCUUCCACCGUGUCACCGUGCUGGGUUGGUUUCUUCAUCUAAAAAAUGGCGAUGGGGAUAACAAACUUGAAAAAGGGUCAUGUGAGUGAGGUGUCCAGCAUUGGGGGGUGUCCGGCAUCGGGGGGUGUCCAUCAUCGGGGGGUGUCCAUCAUCGGGGGGUGUCCGGCAUCGGGGGGUGUCCAUCAUCGGGGAGCGUCCGGCAUCGGGGGGUGUCCGGCAUCGGGGAGGCGUCCGGCAUCGGGGGGUGUCCGGCAUCGGGGGGGGGCCGGCAUCGGGGGGUGUCCAUCAUCGGGGGGUGUCCGGCAUCGGGGGGUGUCCGGCAUCGGGGAGGUGUCCGGCAUCAGGGGGUGUCCAUCAUCGGGGGGUGUCCGGCAUCGGGGGGUGUCCGGCAUCGGGGGGUGUCCGGCAUCGGGGAGGUGUCCGGCAUCGGGGGAGUGUCCAUCAUCGGGGGGUGUCCGGCAUCGGGGAGGUGUCCGGCAUCGGGGAGGUGUCCGGCAUCGGGGGGUGUCUGGCAUCGGGGGGUGUCCAUCAUCGGUGGGUGUCCGGCAUCGGGGAGGUGUCCGGCAUCGGGGGGUGUCCGGCAUCGGGGGGUGUCCAUCAUCGGGGGGUGUCCGGCAUCGGGGGGUGUCUGGCAUCGGGGGGUGUCCGGCAUCGGGAGUACUUAAUAAAGGGUCCCCAUUGAUACCAGCUGAGGCAUAAGCAAACUCCACUGCUCCUAUUAUCUGCACCUGAAGAUUUGCACCUUGCGUGUAUGUGGAUCCUUUUCCAAUUUCUUCUGUAUUAAACAUUCUUUCCUGUAUCAGAAAGUAAGGUUAUGGGUUGGAGCUAAAAAUCUGCCCUUCGAUCCGUCCCCCCGAUAGAGUGCUUUGCUGGCCAUAAGGAUGGGCUGCAGACAGCAGCUCCCUUUCUUUCACUGCCGCCCCCAGCUCCUCUCUUUCACUGCAGGCUGUGUGAAUCAGGCUCCAACAUUUCCACUGUGUGAUCCUAGAUCAGUGUGUGAACCUCCCAGAGUUUCCGUCUCUGCAGAUGGAUGUGCUGACAGCCCCUGCCAUAGGGCUGAGCUGAAGGGCAAAUGAGACAGUGAGGGCAAAGGGAGCCUGGUGCCAGGCAUGUGCCAGGCAUUCAGCAGUGGCUAGCCAUGGUAGCCUGUCCCUAAAGUCCUGGGCACCACGUCCCCCCCCCCUCAGUUCCUUCUGGCUUUACUUCAGGAGCUGGAUUCCCUCCUCCUGCCAGAAAAAUCCAGCUCAUACUGCCUAAAGCACAAAUUCUCACACCAACCACUAGGUUCUGCCAGGUCCUGGCCAGUCCCAACACCAUGAAGCAGGAGGGCAGGCGAAUUUGAGCAGAGAUUGUUUCUGUUUGGCAUCAGCCUCUGCCAAUGCCCAGGAAAGCUGGAAUGCUCUCCUGCAAGGGUGACAUUUCCCCACACGCUAAACAUUGUCUUUUUUUUUUGAGACGGAGUCUUGCUCUGUCACCCAGGCUGGAG
ensembl:lncRNA